rnacentral:rRNA from 1 species
CCUACGGGUGGCAGCAGUGGGGGAUAUUGGACAAUGGGGGAAACACUGAUCCAGCGACGCCGCGUGAGUGAAGAAGUAUUUCGGUAUGUAAAGCUCUAUCAGCAGGGAAGAAAGAAAUGACGGUACCUGAGUAAGAAGCACCGGCUAACUACGUGCCAGCAGCCGCGGUAAUACGUAGGGGGCAAGCGUUAUCCGGAAUUACUGGGUGUAAAGGGAGCGUAGACGGUAAUGCAAGUCUGGAGUGAAAGGCGGGGGCACAACCCCCGGACUGCUCUGGAAACUGUGUAACUGGAGUGCAGGAGAGGCAGGCGGAAUUCCUGGUGUAGCGGUGAAAUGCGUAGAUAUUAGGAGGAACACCAGUUGCGAAGGCGGCCUGCUGGACUGUAACUGACGUUGAGGCUCGAAAGCGUGGGGAGCAAACAGGAUUAGAUACCCCAGUAGUC